rnacentral:lncRNA from 1 species
AUCGAGUACCCUCACUUUGCUACCGACCCGGCUGCCAACCUCACCAAGAUCAUCGUCUACCUGGACACCUUCAUCGGAGGGGUCACCUUCAGCGGAUCCCUGGUGGCUUAUGGGAAACCACAAGGUGUGCUGAUGCUAUGAACGCUGGGCUGAUGGUCUCCAGUGUGGGCCUGAUGAUCCCCUACAUGCUGGACCCCAGCUACACAACAGGCUCUGUGUCCUCUCUCUCGGCCGUCAUGAAAUACGAUGGAAGUCGUAUCUCCUUUUGA